rnacentral:pre_miRNA from 1 species
AAAUUAAUUGCCUGGGGAUCCUAUUCAAGUGCAGCUUCCAAGUCAGUAGGUGGUGGGCUGAGAUUCUGCAUUUCUAAUGAACUCACAGGUAAUGUUGAU